rnacentral:rRNA from 1 species
UACGGAGGUGGCGAGCGUUACUCGGAUUUACUGGGUGUAAAGGGUAUGUAGGUGGUUUAUUAAGUCGAAUGUGAAAUCCCACAGCUUAACUGUGGAACUGCAUUCGAAACUGAUAGGCUUGAGUAUGGGAGAGGAGAAUGGAAUUCCCGGUGUAACAGUGAAAUGUGUAGAGAUCGGGAGGAACACCAGUGGCGAAAGCGAUUCUCUGGCCUAAUACUGACACUGAAAUACGAAAGCUUGGGGAG